rnacentral:rRNA from 1 species
UGGGGAAUAUUGCACAAUGGGGGAAACCCUGAUGCAGCGACGCCGCGUGAAGGAAGAAGUAUCUCGGUAUGUAAACUUCUAUCAGCAGGGAAGAAAAUGACGGUACCUGACUAAGAAGCCCCGGCUAACUACGUGCCAGCAGCCGCGGUAAUACGUAGGGGGCAAGCGUUAUCCGGAUUUACUGGGUGUAAAGGGAGCGCAGGCGGGUCAGCAAGUCAGAUGUGAAAAUUUUGGGCUUAACCCAAAAAUUGCAUUUGAAACUGUUGAUCUUGAGUGAAGUAGAGGUAAGCGGAAUUCCUGGUGUAGCGGUGAAAUGCGUAGAGAUCAGGAGGAACAUCGGUGGCGAAGGCGGCUUACUGGGCUUUAACUGACGCUGAGGCUCGAAAGCGUGGGGAGCAAACAGGAUUAGAUACCCUGGUAGU